AUACGGAGGAUGCGAGCGUUAUCCGGAUUUAUUGGGUUUAAAGGGAGCGUAGGUGGGAUAUUAAGUCAGCUGUGAAAGUUCGGGGCUCAACCUUAAAAUUGCAGUUGAUACUGGUUUCCUUGAGUACGGUACAGGUGGGCGGAAUUCGUGGUGUAGCGGUGAAAUGCUUAGAUAUCACGAAGAACUCCGAUCGCGAAGGCAGCUCACCGGGCCGGAACUGACACUGAUGCUCGAAAGUGCGGGUAUCAAACAGGAUUAGAUACCCUGGUAGUCCGCACAGUAAACGAUGAAUACUCGCUGUUUGCGAUACACUGUAAGCGGCCAAGCGAAAGCGUUAAGUAUUCCACCUGGGGAGUACGCCGGCAACGGUGAAACUCAAAGGAAUUGACGGGG
rnacentral:rRNA from 1 species